UUACGGUCAAAUCACGCUGAAACACCGGUUCUCGUUCAAUCACCGAAGUUAAGCAUCGUAGAGCCAGGUCAGUACUUAGAUGGGGGACCGCUUGGGAACACCUGGUACUGUAAG
rnacentral:rRNA from 1 species